UACUAUGCUAUGACCUCUGGGGGUCCUCCUUCCAGCUCUACUUUUCUCUGAUAAGGUUUGCAUUAGCCCAAAGUAUUGCACAGCAGAAGCUCAUGUUCAGAACUUUAUCCACAAGCCCUUUCCAGCAUUGCUACUUGUCCUCCAGCCUACAAACAUAAGAACACAAAACUGGAAUGUGUUCCUCCUCCCAAAAUCGUCAUACAACCCCCUGCAUCUGCAGGUAAAUCAACUGUCCAGAAGAGUCCACAAGAAUAUUUACUGCAAACUCAUUGGUACACCACACCCACAAAUCAGCACAUUGUGCAUGUGUGCAGCAUUUAUAAAUU